GUUUGAUCAUAUCUGGAACUGCAUAUGAUUGUUCAAAUCAUCUGGGAUAUCUGCGGGAUCAUAUCUCCUAUGUGCCAUGUCCCUCCAUAUUCAAAAUCCCGAAGUCCUUUGACAUCCUUAUUUAGAUUUUACCUGAAGUACUCGGUUAUACCAAAUUGAGUGAAGGAUCAUGUGAAACAAGUCGUACCUUACAGGACUUCUGUGCCAAAGGAAAUACUGUUGAACAAUCUUCAGCCUACGCUGCAUCUUCAUGUACUUCUCCUCAGGAAUUGAAAGGAGAAUGUUUCUCAAGUCUGUAACAUCUUUCUCCAAAACAAAGACAGAAAAUGAUUCCCAGUCGAAAACUUCAAAGAAAGGAGGCACAUAAUU
rnacentral:misc_RNA from 1 species